CCUAACACAUGCAAGUCGAACGGUAACAGGAAGCAGCUUGCUGCUUCGCUGACGAGUGGCGGACGGGUGAGUAUUGUCUGGGAAACUGCCUGAUGGAGGGGGAUAACUACUGGAAACGGUAGCUAAUACCGCAUAACGUCGCAAGACCAAAGAGGGGGACCUUCGGGCCUCUUGCCAUCGGAUGUGCCCAGAUGGGAUUAGCUAGUAGGUGGGGUAACGGCUCACCUAGGCGACGAUCCCUAGCUGGUCUGAGAGGAUGACCAGCCACACUGGAACUGAGACACGGUCCAGACUCCUACGGGAGGCAGCAGUGGGGAAUAUUGCACAAUGGGCGCAAGCCUGAUGCAGCCAUGCCGCGUGUAUGAAGAAGGCCUUCGGGUUGUAAAGUACUUUCAGCGGGGAGGAAGGUGCUGAGGUUAAUAACCUCAGCAAUUGACGUUACCCGCAGAAGAAGCACCGGCUAACUCCGUGCCAGCAGCCGCGGUAAUACGGAGGGUGCAAGCGUUAAUCGGAAUUACUGGGCGUAAAGCGCACGCAGGCGGUCUGUCAAGUCGGAUGUGAAAUCCCCGGGCUCAACCUGGGAACUGCAUUCGAAACCGGCAGGCUAGAGUCUUGUAGAGGGGGGUAGA
rnacentral:rRNA from 1 species